CAGUCGUGGGUCGUGGGUAGAAUGUCGUGGGUAAAAAGGCGUGGGUCGUGGGUAAAAAGGCGUGGGUCGUGGGUAAAAAGGCCUGGGUCGUGAGUAAAAAGGCGUGGGUCGUGGGUAAAAAGGCGUGGGUCUUGGGUAAAAAGGCGUGGGUCGUGGGUAAAAAGGCGUGGGUCGUGGGUAAAAAGGCGUGGGCCGUGGGCAAAAAGUCGUGGGUCCCGAAUAAAAAGUCGUGGGUUCCAAGCAAAAUAUUUCCAUAUAUUUACCUUUCUCCCUUGGGAAGGCGUGUUUUUUUUCUUCUGAGGCUUUCCCAAACUAUGCCCAAAUAUGCAUAGC